rnacentral:misc_RNA from 1 species
UCCCCGUUACCGGGGCAGUCUAGCCAGAAAAAUUCAACUGACUAUAAGGGUUGCGCUCGUUAAUGGACUUAACCAAACAUCUCACGACACGAGCUGACGACGGCCAUGCAACACCUGUCACUGCGUUCAAUAAAGCACAGUUUCCUUUCAGAAACCUUCGCAGGAUGUCAAGCCUUGGUAAGGUUCUUCGCUUAUCGUCGAAUUAAACAACACACUCCACCGCUUGUGCGGGUCCCCGUCAAUUCCUUUAUGUUUUAGUCUUGCGACCGUACUCCACAGGCGGGAUGCUUAACGCGUUAGCUUCGCUACUACAGGGGUCAAUACCUAUAACAGCUAGCAUCCAUAGUUUACGGCGUGGACUAC